rnacentral:misc_RNA from 1 species
UUAAGUUCAGCGGGUAUCCCUACCUGAUCCGAGGUCAACCUUGAAUUGAGAUUUUGGCAAGUAACCACCAGACUCAAUAGCGAGAAAAUUACUACGCUUAGAGCCAGGAGGCACCGCCACUGAUUUUAAGGGCCGCGGAACCGCGAACCCCAACACCAAGCCAGGCUUGAUUGGUCAUAAUGACGCUCGAACAGGCAUGC